rnacentral:sRNA from 1 species
UCUGUCUCUCCUCUCUCUUCCCAAGUGUGCUGCCCACAGCAUUUUACCAGCUGGCUCUUUCCAGCCAGAGUGACCUAGGAAGGCGGCUGGGCGUGGUACUGGGGUCCAGCUUGUCACACCCAGCCCUGCAACUGUGGGGACAGUGCAUCGUGGCUCACACCCCCACCCCCGUGUUCCAGAGCUGCCUGGAUUGACAAGUGCCGCCCCAACCUGCUCAUCACAGAGUCCACGUACGCCACGACCAUCCGUGACUCCAAGCGCUGCCGGGAGCGAGACUUCCUGAAGAAAGUCCACGAGACCGUGGAGCGUGGUGGGAAGGUGCUGAUACCUGUGUUCGCGCUGGGCCGCGCCCAGGAGCUCUGCAUCCUCCUGGAGACCUUCUGGUAGGUGCCGCCAGGACGGCUCUUUAAGGAGCCCCUGGCCCGGCCUGAACACAGUCCAGUUGGUGGGCAGCCCUGUCCAGCGUAGCGGUGGCAUCUUGGCCCUGCUUGCUGCUGUCCUGGGGGGCCGCUCGUGUGCUGUGUGACCCCAGGAGGCCUGUGACAUCC